ensembl:lncRNA
CUUGCUCACCUUAAGAGCAUAUAAAAUCCAUUUUAGGCAGUGUCCAGAUUCAAGAAUAAUCUUAAACCAUUUUUAAAAACCAUUUUAAAGUUUGGCUUUUGGGCACACUCUGAUUUAUGUAAGAACUUGAGUAUAGGGCUUCGCUGGUGGCUCAGGGGUAAAGAAUCCGCCUGCCAAUGCAGAAGAUACGGGUUUGGUCUCUGGUCCAGGAAGAUCUCACGUGCCACGGAGCAGUUAAGCCCGAGUUCUAGAGCCCACAGCUACUGAGCCUGUGAUGUGGAGCCAAAGAGCGGCAACGACAGCCCACGCGCCGCAGCUGCUGAAGCCUGCGCGCCCGGAGCCUGGUCGGCACAGUGCUCGGAGCCACGCAGUCGGCGGCCCAUGCACCACGGCUGGAGAAGAGCCUGUGCGGCAGCCGAGACCCGCACAGCCAAAAUAGAUAAGGUCAUAUCCAGCUCUACCACCCCAUGGAUGGUAACCCGCAGACUCCUCUGUCCUGAGGAUAUAGUGAAGAGCAAACAAACAGGGGACCUGUUUUCAACUGAGCCUAAAUUCUUGCAACAGAAACCAAAGAUAAAGUUUGAAAGUAGAGACUUGUGCAUAGAAAACUGUUAGCUAUUCAGAAAAGUCAAAAGAAUAGUAUGGUGACCACUUACAUACCACCUACCUAGAUUCAGAUUAAUCUAAAGCAUUAUUUUUGUCCUGUCCUCCCCUUAGGCACUAAAGUCCAAUGACUCUUCUAGUAUUUCGGUACAGUUCAGUCUUCCUCAAAGUUUGCUUUAGGAGCUGACCAUCACUUGAGCACUACCAUGUGGCAGGCCAGGCCUAAUUUUGACAACCGUAAGGAAUGUGUUUCCUGUCAGAGAAAUGUUGGACAAAGUUUCUAUGGAGGGUUGUGGGAUCUACUGUAAACUUUUGAAGGAAAGACUUCUCUCCUUUUGGGACAUAUCUAAAGGAGUGGGUUGCCAUUUCCUUCUCCAAUGCAUGAAAGUGAAAAGUGACAGUAAAGUGUCUCAGUCGUGUCCAACUCUCAGCGACCCCAUGGACUGCAGCCCACCAGGCUCAUCUGUCCAUGGGAUUUUCCAGGCAAGUGUACUGGAGUGGGGUGCCAUUGUCUUCUCCGAUAAUAUAAGUUUCACUAAAAGUUAUGUUAGGGAAAAAAGAUGUAGAUUUCAGUUCAGUUCAGUCACUCAGUCAUGUCCAACUCUUUGCAACCCCAUGAACCGCAGCACACGAAGCCUCCCUGUCCAUUACCAACACCCAGAGUCCACGUAAACCCGUGUCCAUUGAGUCAGUGAUGCCAUCCAACUAUCUCAUCCUCUGUUGUCCCCUUCUCCUCCUGCCCCCAAUCUUUCCCAACAUCAGGGUCUUUUCAAAUGAGUCAGCUCUUCACAUCAGGUGGCCAAAGUAUUGGAGUUCAGCUUCAACAUCUGUCCUUCCAAAGAACACCCAGGACUGAUCUCCUUUAGGAUGGACUGGUUGGAUCUUCUUGCAUUCCAAGAGACUCUCAAGAGUCUUCUCCAACACCACAGUUCAAAAGCAUCAAUUCUUUGGCACUCAGCUUUCUUUAUAGUCCAACUCUUACAUCCAUUUAGGACCACUGGAAAAACCAUAGCCUUGACUAGACAGACCUUUGUUGGCAAAGUAAUGCCUCUGCUUUUUAAUAAUGCUGUCUAGGCUGGUCAUAACUUUCCUUCCAAGGAGUAAACGUCUUUUAAUUUCAUGGCUGCAGUCACCAUCUGCAGUGACUUUGGAGCUCAGAAAAAAAAGUCAGCCACUGUUUCCCCAUCUAUUUGCCAUGAAAUGAUGGGACUAGAUGCCAUUAUCUUAGUUUUCUGAAUGUUGAGCUUUAAGCCAACUUUUUCACUCUCCUCUUUCACUUUCAUCAAGAGGCUCUUUAGUUCUUCUUCACUUUCUGCCAUAAGUGUGGUGUUAUCUGCAUAUCUGAGGUUAUUGAUAUUUCUCCUGGCAAUCUUGAUUCCAGCUUGUGCUUCCUCCAGCCCAGUGUUUCUCAUGAGGUACUCUGCAUAGAAGUUAAAUAAGCAGGGUGACAAUAUACAGCCUUGACAUACUUCUUUUCAUAUUUGAAACCAGUCUGUUGUUCCAUGUUCAGUUCUAACUGUUGCUUCCUGACCUGCAUACAGAUUUCUCAGGAGGCAGGUGAGGUGGUCUGGUAUUCCCAUCUCUUUCAGAAUUUUCCACAGUUUAUUAUUAUCCACAGUCAAAGGCUUUGGCAUAGUCAAUAAAGCAGAAAUAGAUGUUUUUCUGGAACUCUCUUGCUUUUUCCAUGAUCCAGCAGAUGUUGGCAAUUUAACUCUGGUUCCUCUGCCUUUUCUAAAACCAGCUUGAACAUCUGGAAGUUCACAGUUCACAUAUUGCUGAAGCCUGGCUUGGAGAAUUUUAAGCAUUACUUUACUAGCAUGUGAGAUGAGCGCAGUUGUGUAAUAGACGUAGAUUAAGUGACCUAUGUUUUUAACUUAAUAAGGAACUUGAAAAAUCAGAGCAAAUUUAGCCCAGUGUAAGUAAAAGAUCUAAUAGGAGUUGAAAUCAUUGAAACAGAAAAUGGACAAAAACAAACAAAAAAAAGAAUGAUUUCAAAAUUUGGUUCUUUGAAAAGAUUAAUAAAAAUUGUUAAAUAUCUAACAGAACUGAUCAAGAAAAGAGAGAAAGUGCAAAUAGCCAAUACUAGGAAUGAUGGAGGGGAUAUCAUUACAAAUUCUGCAUGUAUUAAAGAUGAAAAGGGAUAUUAUAAACAACCUUAUGCCAGUAAGUUAAAACUUAGAUAAAACAAGCAAAUUCAAUAUAGAUACAAAUUACAAAAACUAACAUGACAAUAUGUAGAAAAUCUUGAUAGACUUACUCCUGUUAAAGAAUUCAAAACCUCUGUAUGAAAAUUCCCAAAGUUUCAGAAAAUACAGAAAGAGGAAACACUUCCCAUCUUGUUUUAUAAGGCCAGAUUUCCCUAAUAUCAAUCAAGACCAGACAAGACUAUUCCAGUCCACACUCACUAAAAUGGCUAAAAUGAAAGUGACUGACAACACCAAUGUUGUUAAAGAGUGGAUCAAACAAAAUCCACAUACAUUCAUGGUGGGAGUGUAAAAUGGUACUUUGGAGAUCUCUUCGGCAGUUAAAAACAAACAAAAAAUAUACAUUUAUUUUGUAAUCUAGCUGUCCCACGUCUAAGUAUUUAAUCUAAAAGAAAUUAAAAGAUGUUGUUCACCAAUACCUUAUACAAAAGUAUUCAUAGCAGCUUUAUUUGAACAGUAAUAACUAAAGUCUGGAAACAUCCAGGUGGCCAAUAAGAAAAUGGAUAAACAGUCUGUGGUAUACAAUAGAAUAAAAAGCAUGAAACAGUUUUUAAUUUUGCUGAACAAAAGAAGCCAGACACAAAAGAAUGAUUCUUGAAAAAUAAAAUCUGAUCAAUGAUAAUAGAAAUCAGGGCAGUGGUUGCAUGAGGUUACAAGUUGAGAAGGUCUGGACACAAAGGAAAGUUCUCAGCUAAUGAUAGUGGUUUAUAGCUUUAUAGGUGUUCGGGUUACUCAGGCAUAUUCAUUUGUUUAGAUUGGAUUGAUGUGUAUAUUCAAUGUCUGUGCAUUUCAUUGUAUACGAUUAUACUUUAAUAAAUAUGACUGCAAAUUAAAAGAAAACUUAGAAGCAAUUUAGGCCACUUAAAAGUCACAAGCUAAAUUAAAAUUUUCAAAUAAGAAACAAUAUUCACCCUUAAGAAUCAGUUAGCUUAUUUUUUUGAUGUUAGAAAAACUGAAGCACCUUUCAAAGAGAUUUUUAAAAUCUCAUUGUCUCCUUGCAUGAUUUUGCAAACUGUAAUUUUUAUGAAGUGAAAAGUCACUCGUUGGUGUUUGACCCUUUGCCACCCCAUGGACUGUACAGUCCAUGGAAUUCUCCAGGUCAGAAUACUGGAGUGGGUAGCCUUUCCCUUCUCCAGGGUAUCUUCCCAACCCAGGGAUCAAACCUAGGUCUCCCACAUUGCGAGCAGAUUCUUUACCAGCUGAGCCACAAGGGAAGACCAAUUUUUACAGUAAGUUGAAUUCAGCAUAUUAAAGAAGUCUUUUUCCCUUCUCUUUAGGAUUUGAUUAUUCAACUAGUUAUUAAAAAUUCUCUAUCUAGAAACAUACCACUGUCAGUGUUUCUCUUAACGAUGGGCCAUAUUCUAACCUUUUCUUUCUAUAAACACAUUAAUUCAAAAUUAAAUCAAUCUUAUUUUUGCCACAGACUCUGUUUGCAGCAAGUUUAAUUCUCAGCAGUCUUAUAAUUUUAUCAGUCUCAGAUCUCUAG